UAUAAUUUAUAUUAAUUGGUGUUUUGC
rnacentral:piRNA from 1 species